rnacentral:tRNA from 1 species
ACAUGGCCUGGUUGGUAGGGCGUCGGAUUGAUUCCUAGGAGUGCACGAGUUCGAACCCUGGCAU